GACGAACGCUGGCGGCGUGCUUAACACAUGCAAGUCGAACGGAAAGGCCUGCUUUCCCUUGUGGAUUGCGGGUACUCGAGUGGCGAACGGGUGAGUAACACGUGAGUGAUCUGCUCCCAACUUGGGUAUAAGCCUGGGAAACUGGGUCUAAUUCCCGAUAGGACUGCAGGGUGGUGCCUGUGGUGGAAAACGAUUUUCUAGUGGUUGGGGAUGAGCUCGCGGCCUAUCAGCUUGUUGGUGGGGUAAUGGCCUACCAAGGCGGCGACGGGUAGCCGGCCUGAGAGGGUGGACGGCCACAUUGGGACUGAGAUACGGCCCAGACUCCUACGGGAGGCAGCAGUGGGGAAUACUGCACAAUGGGCGGAAGCCUGAUGCAGCGACGCCGCGUGGGGGAUGACGGCCUUCGGGUUGUAAACUCCUUUCGACCGCGAGGAAGCCACCUGGUUGGAAGGGUGGUGACGGUAGUGGUAGAAGAAGCACCGGCUAACUACGUG
rnacentral:rRNA from 1 species